rnacentral:SRP_RNA from 1 species
GCCAGAUAUGGCAGCACAUGCCUGUAGUCCCAGCUACUUGGGAGGCUGAGGCAGUACGAGCACCUGAAUCCAGGAAUUCUGGGCUGGAGUGUACGAUGUUAGUCAGACAUCAAUAUGGUGACCUCCUGGGAGCAAGAGUCUACCAGGUUGCCUAAGGAAGGGUGAGCCAGCCGAGGUCAGAAACAGACCAGGUGAAAACUUCCAUCUUGGUCAGUAGUGGGGUCAUACCUCAGAAUAGCCAGUGCACUCUAGCUUGGGCAACGUAGUGAGACCCCAUCUU